UGGGAAAGUGUUGUUUUUUACGCCCAACAGAUCUAUGGCCCUAGCUGUUACUUUCACUUUUCGCUCCGACCUUUUGAUUUUUGUAAAAUCUGCCUUCUUUUCAACGGAAAAGUGAUGAAUAUAUUUACUUUUUCCUAACGUUAGGAGGUGUAUGCCUGUUUUUCGUGUGUGGUGCUUCUGCUGUUGAUGCAGACAGAGUGUCAGUGAUGGAGGGAGAUACAGUGACUUUACACACUGAUGUUGAAUUGAACCAAAGAGACAGAAUUGUAUGGUAUUUUGGAAACAGUCGCAUCGCUAUAAUCACUGGAGAUCUCAGUUUGAUCUGUACAGAUGUUCAGUGUAAAGAAUGGCACUGAGAGAUUCAGAGACAGACUGAAGCUGGAUCAUCAGACUGGAUCUCUGACCAUCAGAGACAUCAACACCACAGACUCUGGAGAAUAUAAACUGAAGAACACCAGCCCGCAACACUGACAAUAUCUUUAGUGUUACUGUACAAGGUGUUUCUGCUGCUGAACGAGAUAACAUGAAGAGAAAGUCAGUGAAGGAGGGGAGAAUCUGUUACUUUAGACACUCGUGUAAUUAAAAAACCCAAAUGAUGUGAUGAGAUUGUAUUUUAAUGACAUUCUCAUCGCUGAAAUCACUGGAGAUCAGAGUGAGAUCUGUUCAGAUGUUCAGUGUAAAGAGAGAUUCAGAGACAGACUGAAGCUGGAUCAUCAGACUGGAUCUCUGAUCAUCAUGAACAUCACAAACACAGGACUCUGGAGAAUAUACACUGAAGAUCAGCAGCAGCAGAUUCAGCAUCAUGAGGAGCUUCACUGUUACUGUCUCUGAUGACUUCAGAUUCAGGAUCGUCUUCAGCUGCCGCUGUUGUUGUUGUUGCUGCUGUGUUCUUGUUGUUGUUGUUCUUCUUCUUCUGCUCGUUGCUUGCUGUGGUUUUCCUACAAACGCAAGGCAAUAAUGAAUGUGAGUAUUAUAUUCAGUUGAUUUAACGAGAUGGAAAUAUGAGGAUUGUUGUAUGAACAUAUACGUAUAUUUUGUCUUUGUUCAGCAAACUCAGCAGUGUUUAAUUCAAGUUUAUCAUUAAUCAAACAGGCACCGGGAGGCAGCGCA